AUUGAACGCUGGCGGCAUGCCUUACACAUGCAAGUCGAACGGCAGCACGGGUGCUUGCACCUGGUGGCGAGUGGCGAACGGGUGAGUAAUACAUCGGAACAUGUCCUGUAGUGGGGGAUAGCCCGGCGAAAGCCGGAUUAAUACCGCAUACGCUCUACGGAUGAAAGCGGGGGACCUUCGCGCCUCGCGCUAUAGGGUUGGCCGGUGGCUGAUUAGCUAGUUGGUGGGGUAAAGGCCUACCAAGGCGACGAUCAGUAGCUGGUCUGAGAGGACGACCAGCCACACUGGGACUGAGCCACGGCCCAGACUCCUACGGGAGGCAGCAGUGGGGAAUUUUGGACAAUGGGCGAAAGCCUGAUCCAGCAAUGCCGCGUGUGUGAAGAAGGCCUUCGGGUUGUAAAGCACUUUUGUCCGGAAAGAAAGCCUUGGCCCUAAUACGGUCGUGGGAUGACGGUACCGGAAGAAUAAGCACCGGCUAACUACGUG
rnacentral:rRNA from 1 species